GCCUUCGUGGUGUAACGGUAACACACUCGCCUCGUAUUCGAGAAGUCCAGGUUUGAGUCCCGACGAGGGGA
rfam:Stegodyphus mimosarum contig79137, whole genome shotgun sequence.